rnacentral:rRNA from 1 species
GACGUAGGGGGCGAGCGUUGUCCGGAUUUAUUGGGCGUAAAGAGCUCGUAGGCGGCUCAGAAAGUCGGGUGUGAAACCUCCAGGCUCAACCUGGAGACGCCACCUGAUACUGCUGUGGCUAGAGUCCGGUAGGGGAACACGGAAUUCCCGGUGUAGCGGUGAAAUGCUUAGAUAUCGGGAGGAACACCAGUGGCGAAGGCGGUGUUCUGGGCCGGAACUGACGCUGAGGAGCGAAAGCGUGGGUAGCAAACAGG